rnacentral:rRNA from 1 species
CAGCGCCGCGGGAAAACGUAGGUGGCAAGCGUUGUCCGGAAUUAUUGGGCGUAAAGGGCUCGCAGGCGGUUUCUUAAGUCUGAUGUGAAAGCCCCCGGCUCAACCGGGGAGGGUCAUUGGAAACUGGGAAACUUGAGUGCAGAAGAGGAGAGUGGAAUUCCACGUGUAGUGGUGAAAUGCGUAGAGAUGUGGAGGAACACCAGUGGCGAAGGCGACUCUCUGGUCUGUAACUGACGCUGAGGAGCGAAAGCGUGGGGAGCGAACAGGAUUAGAUACCCCAGUAGUCCCUGUCUCUUAUACA